rnacentral:rRNA from 1 species
AGCGAACGCUGGCGGCAGGCCUAACACAUGCAAGUCGAACGAACUCUUCGGAGUUAGUGGCGGACGGGUGAGUAACACGUGGGAACGUGCCUUUUGGUUCGGAAUAACUCAGGGAAACUUGUGCUAAUACCGAAUGUGCCCUUCGGUGGAAAGAUUUAUCGCCAUUAGAGCGGCCCGCGUCUGAUUAGCUAGUUGGUGAGGUAACGGCUCACCAAGGCGACGAUCAGUAGCUGGUCUGAGAGGAUGACCAGCCACACUGGGACUGAGACACGGCGCAGACUCGUACAGGAGGCAGUGGUGGGGAAUCUUGCGCAAUGGGCGAGAGCCUGACGCAGCCAUGCCGCGUGAAUGAUGAAGGUCUUAGGAUUGUAAAAUUCUUUCACCGGGGACGAUAAUGACGGUACCCGGAGAAGAAGCCCCGGCUAACUUCGUG